rnacentral:rRNA from 1 species
GUUGAACGCUGGCGGCGUGCUUAACACAUGCAAGUCGAACGAAGCACUUUAUUUUAUUUCCUUCUUGACUGAUUAUUUUGUGACUGAUUGCUGGACGUGUGCGUAACGCUUGGGUAUCCUGCCUUGUACCGGGCGCUAAUAGUUCGUACCUGCUGCUAAUACCGCAUAAGCGCACAGCAUCCCCUGAUUCAGUGUUAAAAACUCCUGUGGUAUAAGAUUUACCCGCGUUGGAUUCGCUCGUUGGUGAGGUACGUGCCUACCAAGGCGACGAUCCAUAGCCGAGAUGAGAGGGAGACCGGACACAUUGGGACUGAGACACAGCCCAAAAUCCUACGGGAGGGAGCAGUGGGGAAUAUUGCACAAUGGGCGAAAGGCUGAUGCAGCGACGACGGGUGAGCGAAGAAGUAUGUCGGUAUGGAAAGCAAUAUAAGAAGGGAAGAUAAUGACGGUACCUGAAGAAGAAGCACCGGCUAAAUACGUG